AGCCAAUGAUGAGCUCUCUAACAUUUCUGACACCUCGUCUGAACGCUGCGCUUGCAGUUACUGAUUAUUCCUGACACGAGCUGAGGCGU